rnacentral:misc_RNA from 1 species
GGUUUCCGAUGAGGAGUUGUUUGAGUUCGAUUCUUGAGCGGCUCUUCGGGUAGUGAAGGAAUUGGGUUUUUUGGAAACUGAAGUGAAAAUUUUGGGUGUUUUGAGAUGGGGCAAAAUGGGUGUGGGUUUGAUUGAGAAAGUGGUGGUGCUGUGGCGGAGGAAUUUCGAAGAGGAAGAAGGAAGUGGAAAUGGGGAUUGUGAGAAGGAAAGUGUAUGCGCCAUUGUUGCAGAGCUUUGA